rnacentral:lncRNA from 1 species
UUCCCGGGGCUCCCAUGCGGCAACGCAAACCAGCUUGGAGAUGCCGAUGGGAGCCCCGGGAAGAGUUUUCUUUUCUCUGUAAGGAGAUCGAGUCCCUAGAAUGCGUUCACCCCGAGAUAGGGACGGUGGCUCCGUAGAGCAGUGCGGCUCUUGCGCUGUCCGGUGCGCUCCUGUUGGCCCUUGAAAAUCCGAGUGAGGGAGUGUGGUUUUCGUGCCAGACCGUACCCACAUCCGCAGCAGGUUUCCAAGGUGAACAGCCUGUAGUCGAUAGACCAGUGUAGGUAAGAGAAGUCGGCAAAACGGAUCCGUAACCUUGGGAAA